CAGAGGGUGCGAGCGUUGUUCGGAAUUACUGGGCGUAAAGCGCGCGCAGGCGGCCUUUAAAGUCUGACGGUGAAAUGCCGGGGCUCAACCCCGUGCCCGCCGCGGAUACUGGGAGGCUGGAGACGAGUAGAGGCAAGCGGAAUUCCGGGUGUAGCGGUGGAAUGCGUAGAGAUCCGGAAGAACACCGGAGGCGAAGGCGGCUUGCUGGGCUCGGUCUGACGCUGAGGCGCGAAAGCGUGGGGAGCGAACAGGAUUAGAUACCCUGGUAGUCCACGCCGUAAACGAUGGGCACUAGACGCUGGUGGGAUCGACCCCUUCGGUGUCGCAGCUAACGCGAUAAGUGCCCCGCCUGGGGAGUACGGCCGCAAGGCUG
rnacentral:rRNA from 1 species